GGAGUGGUAGCUCAGCGGUAGAGGUACGGUUAAAUUCCGAAUUGGAUUAUUCUCUCAAUCAAACAUUCAACUAACAAUCUGUGCAGCAGGAGAUUGCAGUCAUCAGGCCAAUAUCUCAAGGUCCCGUGUUCAAUCCACGGUCGCUCCU